UCUAGCCAAGAGCCCAGAAUGACGUUAAAGCUGAGUAAAUACUGACCCCAGACCAGCACCGUGAUAAAGUGAGCUGCUGCUGCUGAACUUGAACAGGUAACACAGUGAUGAGCAGUCAGGCUGCAGGUUUCUACCUGUUCAUGUUUCUACAGUAGAAUCACUUUGAAGUGUCUUUGUGCUGUUUCAUCUUUGAUUUGUGUUCAUAAACACUCAGAGAAACAUCACGUGACCUCAUCAGGAUCUGUGUUGGUGUGUGGGGCUGUAGCCUCAGCUUUAUGUUGUUAGAUGGUCAUUUGUUCAUUUUACAGAGCAACAUGAAAGUAAUGUUAUGAGGAGUAAUGAAGUAACGUACUCCAUUACUUUUAAUCAAAGUGUUCUGUGUAAUAUGUGUAAUAAAGACUUUUUUGAGUAAUGACCAACACUGAUCACAACAAAGAGGAAAUGCCUCCAACAUGCACAAACAUUUGACCCACAACAUGCAGUUAAUGUGCACAAAUGUCUUUGAUAUGGUGCUCAGUGAUGGUGGUGACUGUCAGAGCAGAGCUACUGAGAAUCAAUAAGUAAUAUCAAUGAUGGAAUCACUAAAUUCUUAUCAUCCCUGUCAGUAUCAUACAUGUGCUGUAUAAUGUGAUAAAUGUAGAGGUGCUGGCUGUUCUCUCACUCUGCUGUGUAGCUGUAAAGGACGCCUCCCUGCCUUUGUCUCAUUCAUGACCUUUAAUAGUCUCUUCUAACAUGCAGAGAUCUGUAUGAUCUGUUUCAUAGAGUCUAACCAGCCUGUACAGGUAACAACAACAGUCACUGCAUCACUGACACACAAACUUCAUCUCUGUCAAUAAAAACAUUCAUACAUGGAAUAAAAACACAUCAGUGGAUCAUUGCUGGAGCUGCCUGGACUUCAGUCUCCAGGAUCUCAACCAACAGCAUCGACAUGCUGCUCCAGAUGUUUGUGCUCCAGAUGUUUGUGCUCCAGAUGUUUGUGCUCCACAUGUCUGUGCUCCUGGUGAAAAGGCUCUCAUUUUCCUCCUUGAAAUAACAGGAUCAAUGGUGGGUCAGCGACAUGCUUUCUUUCCCUCUCAGGUUUAAAUAUCUGGGACUUUCCACUGUUUGGUUUUAGAACUGAAGAAGCUUCUCGGAUGAAACGUCUUCCAGAAAUUUAAAGAAGUCUCUCUUUUCUCUCCAAGCUCCUUAGAUCACAUGACCUGGAUGAUUGAGAACCUAAAGACAUGUUGACCUGGUUUCGAGGUUACAUGAAAGACUAACUGAAGAUGAUGAUGGAGGAAGAGGAGGACAGAGCAGAGUCUGCAGGAUCCAGCUGUCCGUCUGUGACCAGUGACCGGUCCAAAGGUUAUGAUCCUCCAGACUUCAGUGGUGAACCUGGACCAACGAGAGGUCAGAGGUCACAGUCUGCAGGGUCCAGUUGUCCAUCUGUGAGGAGUGACCUGUCCAAAGAUAAACCUCCAUUCUUCAGUGCUGAACCUGGACCAGCGAGGUCAGAGAGCUGUGAUGACUCCUUUACAUGUUUGUGUUUCCUGGAUAAAUCUGACCUGAAACAUCCUCAGAUUGUUACAAAGAUUCAUUAAAAAGAAAACAAUGAAAGAGAAAAGAU